UGGAAGUAAAAGUCGUAACAAGGUUUCCGUAGGUGAACCUGCGGAAGGAUCAUUAAAAAGAAUUAUACACUUUGCAUUUGCGAACAAAAAAAUAAAUUUUUUUAUUCGCAAUCAUUUAAAUCAAAACUUUCAACAACGGAUCUCUUGGUUCUCGCAUCGAUGAAGAACGCAGCGAAUUGCGAUACGUAGUAUGACUUGCAGACGUGAAUCAUCGAAUCUUUGAACGCACAUUGCGCCUCGAGGCAUUCCUCGAGGCAUGCCUGUUUGAGCGUCGCAUCCCCUCUAACCCCCGGUUAGGCGUUGCUCCGAAAUAUCAACCGCGCUGUCAAACACGUUUACAGCACGACAUUUCGCCCUCAAAUCAGGUAGGACUACCCGCUGAACUUAAGCAUAUCAAUAAGCGGAGGAAAAGAAACCAACAGGGAUUGCCCCAGUAACGGCGAGUGAAGCGGCAAAAGCUCAAAUUUGAAAUCCUGCGGGAAUUGUAAUUUGAAGGUUUCGUGGUCUGAGUCGGCCGCGCCCAAGUCCAUUGGAACAUGGCGCCUGGGAGGGUGAGAGCCCCGUAUGGCGCACGCCGACUCUUUGCACCGCGGCUCCGACGAGUCGAGUUGUUUGGGAAUGCAGCUCUAAGUGGGUGGUAAAUUCCAUCUAAAGCUAAAUAUUGGCGAGAGACCGAUAGCGAACAAGUACAGUGAUGGA
rnacentral:misc_RNA from 1 species